rnacentral:rRNA from 1 species
AGCGAACGCUGGCGGCAUGCUUAACACAUGCAAGUCGCACGGUCGGGGGAAACUUCGGCAGUGGCGGACGGGUGAGUAACGCGUAGGUAUCUAUCCGUGGGUGGGGGAUAACGGCGGGAAACUGCUGCUAAUACCGCAUGACACCUGAGGGUCAAAGGCGCGAGUCGCCUGCGGCGGAGCCUGCGUCCGAUUAGCUAGUUGGUGGGGUAAUGGCCUACCAAGGCUGCGAUCGGUAGCUGGUCUGAGAGGAUGAUCAGCCACACUGGGACUGAGACAC